AUGCAUUCGUCACAUAUAGAUAGCUUAUUUGCAUUGUGCAAAAAAAAUUGUAGUCUUAAUGAUGAUGCAUACAUGUCAACGAUGGGUGUUGGCUCCAACAAUUCGCAUUAGUCUCAAACCAAUGACAUGCAUUUUGAAGACCAUGAGUUCGAGGUGGACGAGGAGGGUGAGGGCAUUGUCGACGCACCGAAAGGAAGAGCGGGCAAUUACACCAACACCGAUGACAUCUUACUAUGUAAUACUUGGUUGCAAGUUCGAGGGAUCCAUCCGUUGGAGGCGAUCAAAGUAGAGAUGCUUAUUGGAACUGGAUGA
rnacentral:rRNA from 1 species